UACGUAGGGUGCAAGCGUUGUCCGGAAUUAUUGGGCGUAAAGAGCUCGUAGGCGGUUGUCGCGUCUGCUGUGAAACCCGAGGCUCAACCUCGGGCCUGCAGUGGGUACGGGCAUGCUGGAGUGCGGCAGGGGAGACUGGAAUUCCUGGUGUAGCGGUGGAAUGCGCCAGAUAUCAGGAGGAACACCGGUGGGCGAAGGCGGGUCUCUGGGC
rnacentral:rRNA from 1 species